GGAGUAUAGCUCAGCUGGUUCAGAGCGCCUGCCUUACAAGCAGGAGGUCACUGGUUCGAUUCCUGUUACUCCC
rnacentral:tRNA from 1 species